rnacentral:tRNA from 1 species
GUGUGUAUAGCUCAAGUGGUAGAGCGCACACCUGGCUUGCGUGAGGUCCUGGGUUCAGUUCCCAGUACCUCCC